AUCUUUCAUCCCUUGAAGGUAUUAAGGAAUUGACGUUUAAGUUCUCGGGUUCUGCGGCAGGCUUGUUUGGAGAUAGUUUUCCUUUCCUCGGGUGGAUCUGUUGAGCGUGGACUCGAUCGAGGGGCAUAACCAAGUUUCAGGUAAGGGCACAGCGAGGGGCAGACCGACGAGAGGCAGGAAGGAUGCGUGAAGGCCAUAUGGAC